GUUCUCUAUGUUAUGGUUUUCUCUCUUUUUAAUUAAGUUAUAAAUCAUGUUUCUAAUUCUAAAAUUGAAUCUAUUUUAGUUAAAUUUGCCUAUUUUAUUAGUUUAUUGAAUUUGUGAGUUAGAAUUUGUGGUUUUAGGGUUUAGAGGAGCAAAUCAGUUUACCAAUUUUUUUUGGAAAAGGCUCUUGCAGAGGCAGGUCUUUCGGUUGAAAAUAUACAUGCCGUUGAGUUGGUAGGCUCCGUAGUUAUUUCUUUAUUCUGUGAAAUCAGCAAUUUAAUCCUGCAUUUCCCAAAAACAUAAUUGAUCAAGCACAUAAUGCAUUUGCGAUUCUGUUCAUAAUACAUGGCUGAUUUCAUUGGAAAUAUAACAAACUACCGCGAAACAAAUUGCUUCUAGUAAGCAUCUCCUUGUAACAAAAUGUUCCAUGAUAUUCAUGCCUGAUGCCUGCUGCCUGCUGAUAAAUAGUACAUGCAUUCUAUAUAUGUAUUUGAUACACUUCACAUUUAAGCAAUUAUUUUCUAUACCUCGCCGCUUGACAAGAUGUAUUGCCUCUCUUUAGCAGCAUACUACAUGUUUUUCAACCAAUGUAAAGUAUUUUAUUUCCUCCUUAUCCUGUUUCUAUCUUUGUACUCCAUCUUUAUCCAGUCAAAACAUGUUAAAACUUUGCAGCAGUCUGCUUCAUCCAAUAGGCCGGGUGAAGAGAAUUUGUAUAAUCUACUUCUUCCACAAACACUCCCUAAUCAUUCUUUCUACACAUUGUUGCUAGAAAAUCUUAAUAAUAUCACACAUAGAUACCGGUAGAAUCUUCAGGAACUUUUUUGUUCAUUCUUGUAAUUAGACAUAAUUUAUUCGCGACAUUGACAUAUUCAAAAUAACCCGAUAAAAGGGAUAAUCUGCCAUACCGUAGAGGAAAAUCUUCUCUAAACAAUCUUGAAAAGAGGCUAAAUGGGAAAGAAAAAUAAAUGUUGCAAAGUAUGCAACUACUUUACAGACAUGAUCUUUGUCCUCCAUUUUGGGUGAAGUAUAACUACCUACUUCUAGGAUAUUCCGCAUGUCAAUCAAACAACCUCCUUACACUUUACUUCCUAGGAAAUGAGACUUAGCAUAUCAAGCAAACAACACCUAAGGUUUUGAACAUGUUAGUGGAUGACUACCCUUCUUUGGAAUGUGCUUUAAGCUGUAGUAGAAGAAGAUUGUAUUCAGAGUAACCGUAUUCCUUCCCAAAGCUAGCAAAACUUAGUUUUAUCUGUUUUCCAAAAAAAAAGUCUUGCUAACUCUCACAACUCUGGAAUUAUACACAACCAAAUAAGAGUAACAAGAAAACUAUAACUAACACAUGUUGCACAUUAUCCAAUUUCUUCAUUCACAUAAAAUAACAUAAAAAUUCUGUGAAGGUCGUCGACUAAAGAUGACUAAUAGAAUACAUAAGAUUUGAUCCGUUAGAUUUAGUUAUAAAAUCUGAACCGUUCAAAUAAGAAAAAAGAAAAAUAUAUUCUAAAGGGGUUGUUUGCCUACUAUUCUAAAUUUCUAGAAGGGUAAAACUUUUAAUCUUGUUUAAUUGUUACCCUUUGAUUUUCCGGCCAUUGCUAUCAAGUACUCCAAGAAUUUGCAAUACCCUAAGAAAACCUACAGCCGCCCUCUCAUCAAUCUCUCACCUUAAUACGAAACCCUUAAUCCAAAAUUGACAAUUCAUAGCUAGUUCUCUUAAAAAUUCUUCAAUUGUUUUCCUUAAAUUGGAUUCACUCAAUUAAUCCAACCAACUUGGGCUUCUUUACGAAAAAGGAUUGAAGCUGAUUUAAAUGGGGAUUGUUGAUUUAUCAAAUUUCAACGAAAACGAACUGAAUUGAGUUUGCAGAUAGUGUCAGAAAGCAUAAGACCAACAACCCUUAAAUUGAGGUCAUCGCUCAUCAGUCAUCGGUCCUUUUUCAAUAUCUCUACAGUACUAGAGCUAAGCGUUCAAAGUGACAAGGGAAAAGCGGAAUUAAGUGGGAAAACAUAGGUUCGUUCGUGUUGACCUAACCGAAGAUAUGACACUAAAACAACUUGACAUUAUGACUUUCAGGUUCCUGCCCUUGACCAUCAGUCCUUUUUCGAAUGAUACUCUUUCGGUCAAGAUAGAACUUUUGGUGUUCAUAUUUUUGCUGUAAGAACCAUUUUCCCAUCAGUGCACACAAACUGUUGGAUGAAAUUCCCGUUAGAAGUGAGCCUCUAGCAGUGGUUAUUGUUUAAGAAAAAUGGUUUCAUGGGGAAGUAGAUUGAUCUUCUUAUUAAGCAGGACAACACUUCGAAAGUAUGGAAGGGUGUUCUUUAGAGAGUUAAAUGUUGGAACUGAUGUGAGCAAGUAUGAAUUAUGUACAACACUUCAUUCUUGUACAAAGGUUCGAGAUUGUCAACUGGGUAUGCAAACUCAUGCCAAGAUAAUUCAGUAUGGUCAUGGAGAUAAUUUAAUCUUGAGCAGCGCCCUUGUUGAUUUUUAUUCGAAAUGUUGUGGGAUUGAGGAAGCUAGGCGCAUAUUUGAUGGGAUGAAGCAGCAUGAUCAAGUGUCGUGGACAUCGAUUAUAUCGGGGUAUUCACAAUAUGAUGGUGGAGUUGAAGCCAACUUGUUGUUCAAGAAGAUGUUAACAAGUGAUACUGAACCUAAUUGCUAUACUUAUGUUAGUGUUAUUGCUGCAUGUUCUGGAGGGAAAGAACCUCUUAAACAAGGCUUACUGAUUCAUGCUCAUGUUAUCAAGCUUGGAUACGCGGGUGAAAGUUUCAUGGUUAGCUCUUUGAUUGAUUAUUACUCAAAGUGUGGGAGUGUUGGUGCUGCUACUUUGAUUUUUCAUGAAGCCGCAACUAGGGAUAAUAUUGUGUAUAACUCAAUGAUUGCUUGUCAUUGCCAUAACCUUUACGUGGAAAAUGCUGUUAGAUUGUUUUUACAUAUGAGAAAUCAGGGUAUUAGUUCUACUGAUUUCACAAUGAGCAGCAUUUUGCAUGCAUCUGGGAGGCUAUCAGUUAUCCAAGUUGGGAGGCAGGUGCAUGGCUUGGUAAUGAAAUUUGGUUUCUUGACCAAUCUGUUUGUUUUGAGCUCUCUGAUCGACAUGUACUCAAAAAGCGGUAGCAUUGAUGAAGCUCGUUAUGUUUUCGAUCAAACAACCGAGAAGAACAAUGUUUUGUGGACAUCUAUGGUUUCAGGGUAUGCGCAGAGUGGAAGACCAACAGAGGCACUAGAUCUGUUUGAUCAUAUGGUAGGCAAAGGCUUUUUGCCUGAUCAUAUUUGCUUUACUGCUGUCUUAAGUGCUUGUAAUCACGCGGGCUUACUUGACAGAGCUGUAGAACACUUCAACAAGAUGAUAAAGGAUUAUGAUCUGUCUCCUACAUUAGACCAAUAUUCUUGUUUGAUUGACUUGUAUGCAAGACAAGGGUACUUAACAAAGGCGAUCCAGCUGAUGGAAGAGAUGCCUUUUGAUCCCAACCAUGUCACAUUGAGUUCACUCUUGAGUUGCUGCAGAACAUAUGGUGCUGUUGAAUUGGGUAGAGAGGUUGCUAACCGGCUAUUGGCUCUGCAGCCACAUAAUUCCGCUGCUUACUUAACAAUGGCUCGUAUGUAUUCUGAAGCUGGCUUAUGGGACGAGGCUGCCAAUAUCAGAAAAUUGAUGAAGCCGAAAGGAGUUGAAAAGUGUGCAGCAUGGAGUUGGGUUGAAGUAGACAAAGAGUUGAGUUAUUCUUAGUAGGUUCAGCGUGCCAUCAUACAUGUCUCAAUUUUUUUGUCUUGUCAGAGCACCUUAACUUGAUGCAUCUGAAAUGUACGUGAGCCAAUGAUGGUGUACAACAUUGUUCUUGCAAGGGAAGUGCAAGGGGCAAGGGGCAAGUAUGCAUGUAAUACGGAGUACUUGAGAUGUAUCAAGGUUUCUAAGUUUUUGGACCUUCAUAAGUCUCCCUGAAAGGAAUGGAUUGAGGAUUUCGGAUGCUAAUGCGAGCACACUAGAAUAGAAGUUGGAUGGAUGAGAUCAGAAAUCCCUGGAAUGCGUGGAAUGAAAAACAGGAUGUUUUCUAGAAAGAAACCUGGAGCAUUAGAUGAAUGAUAUGAGUAGAAUAUAACAAUUCGGAAUCUUAUAAACCAUGGGUGCUGGUCUAUCAGGAGUUUUGCAAGCAUAAGCACUCGAUGCAGCCUUCAGAGGGGAAGGAAUAUUCAUUAAAGGUUGAUGUCAUUAGCGGGAAUCUGUGGUUCUUGGUUAAGUGUCUUUGAAAUGGAGAGAAGGGAGCCUUGAUAGUGUGCUGAGAUGUUCUAUGUUUACGAGUUCCGUGAUCUGGUAUGCUCGUCAAAGAGACAUGUUGAUGGAUCACUAGCAUUCUAGGACUACAACAUAGAGCUGGAGGAUCACAGAGGGCAGAAGGUUAAACUGGAUUCUGAGUCUGAGCAAAGGUUAAAUUUGGCAGAGCAAUAAUGAUGGGUCUGCAUAUAAAAAGGGGAAAAAACUAAUGAGAAAGAAAGAGUACAAAUUAGAGGUGCUUCUAAUGGGAGAGGAGGUCUUUCUCUCUUGAUACGAAAUUCAUAGAGUGCAUUGAUAAUAUUACGAUCUUUCAAUUUGACAUGGUGUGGUGCUGUUUUAUGCUCUGUGACAUCAACUUUCUUUCAAUUUAAAGAGCAUCUUGCGAAAUCUAGAAGAGUUAUUGAACAUACUCAUGGAAAAUUUGUCUCUCGUGCAAGAGAGCUUAACAACAGCCAUAGCCUAGAUAUGUCAUUAUAUUUGAGGUUGGAGCUAUUGGAAGGUGUGGCAGCAUUUCACUGUGGCAAAUUCGGCAAAUGCAGAGAAGCUUUGGCAGAUGAUUCGAUAAGUUUCUGGCCACCCAUCAUAGAGUUUCAAUUGAAAGGUCUCGUAUGGGAUAUCAAUUUUUCGACCAAUGGGAAGUUGACUUAUGAAAGUUCACCACUUAACCUGCAACUCAGCUUAGGAAACAGCUUCAUGCAACUAGUAUUGAGGCUUUAAUUUCAGAACUGCAAGAGUGUUGAUCGCAAAUUAUGUACAGACCAAACAACGAAAAAACGGGGGCACGAAAAUGGC